UGGAGGCAUCUGAGGGUUUCUCAUGUACACUGAGGAAAAAGCAAAGGUAAAUGUGUUUGGGCUAGUGAUGGGUACCAAAAUCUGCACCUCUUUGGUACAGAACAAACAUUUUUUGACACUUUUUCAGUCCCUGUUACUGUGAUGCUCCAAUUCUUUUCCUGCUGGCACCGGCACCAUGUCACAUGAUGUGCAGAGAAGACAAGCUUGUUUACUCACACACAGCCCCCUCCUCUCCCUUUCAAUACAUCUCCUACAAGCUAAAUGUUGAAAAUGCCUCCCACAAUGUUCGGCUGCGGUUUGUAAAAGAUAACGGGAACAGAGGAAAUUGCAACAUAAGCAAGAUUUGUUCCACGAAAUAUGGGAAUCUCUGCGAUUUGUCAAAGCAACUCAACGCGCAUGGAAUCACCUUGUGAGCUGAAGCUAACAUCACAGACAGUUCCAGAGUGUUGCUGUUAACAUGAGACCUAUGGAGAACACGUGAAGAGGAGCUGCAGAAUCAUCAAAACAAACCAGAACACCCGAGUGCCGAGCUGGAACCCCUCAGAGGAAGAUCAAGCAGCAAGCACAGAGAAGUGACACCGGCUUUCAGCCUUUGAGGAACUACUUUUUUGGAAGAUCAGAAAAUAGAAGCAAUCACCACCACAGACCAGGUUCAUGUGGAGCUGAAACUGUACAGGUUUCCUUCAUUGUUGACCUCCACCGUGCUGUAGAAGAGGUAUAUGAUCAACAGGAGGAUGGUGAACCCCUCAGGUCUCUGCUGCAGCUUUUCUUGUGCCUUUAAACCAGGAUUUUCAGAUAUUGUUGGUCUUUUUAGGCUUUAACUCUACUGGCCAGCAACUGCCUGAAAUUAUGCUGACGCUGUGCUAGAUUCACAUUCUUCGGGAAUCACCUAGGUGAUACAAAAGUACUAUUUUACCUUUUACAUGUGUGUUAUUGCAGGCAAUUUUGUUUAAGCACUAUCCUAAGAAACUACUGUUACACUUAUUUGGACCUGACAAACUUUAAACAUGUUCUUACUCAACCUGCAGGAUGGAAGGACCAGAAACUGGAUGCAGUAGAAGUUCUGGCACAUCUGGAUAUUUUACGAUUACACAACAUUAGGGAAAGCUGCUGUCAGAUGUUGCUACGGGGAGCUUUUUGCAUGCCCAUAUUAAACUGGACCUGAACUGAACUACAGAUCCUCACUAUGAGAUCUCACUCAAGAGGCAACAGAAGAAGGUGGCACAGCUUCCUGCUAACCAAAUAUUUUGUUUUUUGUUUUUGACUGUCAGGUAAAAAGUCACGUGGAAAACUACGGCUCAGAGAUGUUUGGUUUCUUACUGGGACAAGGACAUUAGUAGACAUGACUCUGGACUCACCCCUGUCCUGGUUCAUAGAAGAAUGCAUGAUGCCGUCUGAAUGGACGCUGGGCGGCCGGGGUGGCAUCUGACUACCUGCAGGACAGCAAAGGAAUAUCAUCUCAGUUACUCAGAGAUCUAACUUUGUUUCAGUAACUUUGACAUUUAAGGAGCUAAAUAAGAAAAGCAAAGCUAUUUCUACCUG